GAUGAACGCUGGCGGCGUGCCUAAUACAUGCAAGUCGAGCGAACGGACGAGAAGCUUGCUUCUCUGAUGUUAGCGGCGGACGGGUGAGUAACACGUGGAUAACCUACCUAUAAGACUGGGAUAACUUCGGGAAACCGUAGCUAAUACCGGAUAAUAUUUUGAACCGCAUGGUUCAACAGUGAAAGACGGUCUUGCUGUCACUUAUAGAUGGAUCCGCGCUGCAUUAGCUAGUUGGUAAGGUAACGGCUUACCAAGGCUACGAUGCAUAGCCGACCUGAGAGGGUGAUCGGCCACACUGGAACUGAGACACGGUCCAGACUCCUACGGGAGGCAGCAGUAGGGAAUCUUCCGCAAUGGGCGAAAGCCUGACGGAGCAACGCCGCGUGAGUGAUGAAGGUCUUCGGAUCGUAAAACUCUGUUAUUAGGGAAGAACAGAUGUGUAAGUAACUGUGCACAUCUUGACGGUACCUAAUCAGAAAGCCACGGCUAACUACGUG
rnacentral:rRNA from 1 species